UACGUGGGGUGCAAGCGUUGUUCGGAAUUACUGGGCGUAAAGGGCGCGUAGGCGGGCUUGUAAGUUAGUUGUGAAAUCCCCGGGCUCAACCCGGGACGUGCAACUAAAACUGCGAGUCUUGAGUAUUGGAGAGGAUGGCAGAAUUCCAGGUGUAGAAGUGAAAUUCGUAGAUAUCUGGAAGAAUACCGGAGGCGAAGGCGGCUGUCUGGCCAAAUACUGACGCUAAGGCGCGAAAGCGUGGGGAUCAAACAGG
rnacentral:rRNA from 1 species